rnacentral:RNase_P_RNA from 2 species
GACUGUUCGUAUUUACCCGUUCACACAAGACUCAGUUCGAGUACGAAACGCGGGUGGGAAAUUCGGUGAUUCUCUCCGUCCAGGGCGUGCGGGUGGCGGUAUCAGUACCACCAGCCGCACGCCACAAUGUGCUCUUGAGAGCUCCAGGCGUGAAACGCUGGGUGCACGGCAUCAGAAACUAACGGUAAAGUAAUUUAUCGUAUGGGAGCCGUGUCGGACGGUUGAUCUUCCAUUAGUGGGGAGGUACUUGAGUGCAAUAUACGAACUUCAACUCGUUUGAAGAACUCGAUACCGAUCACAGUU